rnacentral:rRNA from 1 species
CACGCAGGCGGAUUGAUAAGUCAGGGGUGAAAUCCCGGGGCUCAACCUCGGAAUUGCCUUUGAUACUGUCUGUCUUGAGUUCGGGAGAGGUUGGCGGAAUUCCUAGUGUAGAGGUGAAAUUCGUAGAUAUUAGGAAGAACACCAGUGGCGAAGGCGGCCAACUGGCCCGAAACUGACGCUCAUGUGCGAAAGCGUGGGGAGCAAACAGGAUUAGAUACCCUGGUAGUCCACGCCGUAAACUAUGGAUGCUAGCCGUUGGGGAGCUUGCUCUUCAGUGGCGCAGCUAACGUCUUAAGCAUCCCGCCUGGGGAGUACGGUCGCAAGAUUAAA